UAAUUGGUCGUCACAGUGCUGUCCAAUGUUUUCUGCAUGCUGCUUGCUAAGUAAAAACAACAAUCUCCUGGACUGUUGUUCAAAUCUGAGAGUACUAGCUACAGGCUUUGUUUGGGCUCGAGAGAGUGUGA